UAAAAGUAUUCCUAUUUCUUAGCCUAAUUUCCCACCAAACUACUAGUACUAGAAUACUAGUCUACUACUCACAAUAACCCACGACUUCACUUCCCUCCACUUCAUAAUUUUUUUUUUGUUUUGCCGCUAGAUACCACAGCCCUCAACCACAAUUUCCCCAAAUUGAGUUCCCUUCAAUCCAAAUCCAAAUCCAAAUCCCAAUUUUCCUAAAGUAAUUAAAGAGUUCCCUUCAGCCCAAUUAAUUAUUGAGCAGUUCCUCUUCUCCGGCAAAUUGUGGGCAGUUGAAUAAUUCUUCUAUUUUGCAAAUUGCGUGCUUCCAUUGUCUUCUCAUCUGGUGUUUGCGGGAUUUAUUGAUUGAAAUUAUCAAUUGUUAAUGGAUUCUUUACAUAUCAAUCAUGAGCAUGGUGAUGAUGAAAAUAAUGAUGCAAAUGGUCAUCCUACUUAUAAAGAGCACUCUUUGGUUUUUGAAGUGAAAAAGGAUUGUUAAAGAAGAUUAAAAUGAGCACCAAGUGGGUGCAGAUACAAUUCCCACGACAAAAUAAUGGCAUUGAUUGCGGAUAUUACGUUAUGAGAUUUAUGAAAGAGAUCAUUGACCAUAAGAAAACCCAAAUUUUUGAACAUUACUUUCGUGAUUGCAAUGUCUCAAGGUAUGAUCAAGACCAUAUUGAUGAAAUCAGAACUCAAUGGGCACGUCAUGUUCUUCUCAUGUGAAUAUUUGGUUGAUUCACCAUGUAUUUUAAUUUGUAAUAGGCCACAAAUUUUUAAUUUAACAAUGUUGUAGUCAUUUAAAUUAGGGUAUGUAAAUUUUUGAAUUGACAUAUACCGUACUGUACUUUUUUCUCUUUCCUAGAGUGUUACCAAAGAUGACUAUUAAUAUUAUUUGUAUUUUAUGAGACAUUAAGACAUUUAUUUCAUUUGGGAAACUAAAUUUAGUUCUGUUAUAGAUCUUAGUUAGUUUGUACUGAUUCGUUUAGCUACAUAUUUAUUAAUAAUUAUAAUUAAUGCAUUAUAUAGAUUUUGAAUUUAAAAUAUUUAACAGCGCUUUCUAAUAAAUGCUAUUUUUUAAUUCAAAAUAAAUUAAUUGUGAAUAUCAUCAACCUUCCCACCAUUUUUAUUGAUUUAAUAGCGUUUUAUAUUCAAUGCUGCUAAAUUUAAUACUAUUAAUGGCGCUUAACUUAAAAAAAUAAAAUCUUUCCUCCGUCAUCGAGUACACGCGCCAUUUCAGCAUUCGUUGCGACAAAAUGGAGCUAAAAUCAAAAAAAAUUUGCCAGUUCAGCAUCCAGAGUCCACCGUGGCUCGAGAAUUUCCACCGUGUCACGGCAGAGUCCACCGUGGCACGGUGGAAUUGCAUCAAAAAAA